rnacentral:lncRNA from 1 species
CAACAUGCAAAGCUAGCUAAAGGCAUGCUUGCCCCACAUUUUCUCAGCACUACUAGCUUCGUUUGAUGGUCGUUUGAUGCAUUGAUUAUGCUACAAUUUUCUCUUUCAAUGGACUCCCGAUGACACCCACAUCACAUGACCAGCUCCAACCAUGCUCCAAGCAUGCUCCAGUGCAUGCUUCAACCAGUUCCCAAAGCAAGAAUCUCGACUCAAGACGAAGACGUGACACUACUAUUCUUUCCAGUUCAUCUGCAAGAUUCCUGCUUUUUCUCUUUACCCAUUCAAAACACAUUUUUCUUCUAGCCAUAAUUUUAUUAUUUAGAAGUCAUGAAAAUGAAACAGUGCAAAAAUAAUCACUCUUUUCUGCUGUUUUAUGUCCAUCCUUUUGUAAAGUUAUAUCCUUGGCUUAGUUGUACCCAAGAAUAAUUAUGGAAUGAUUACCCGUCUUGCUUGAAAGUCUUUCAUGGAAUGUUUUUGCCUAUGCU